rnacentral:rRNA from 1 species
UACAGAGGUCUCAAGCGUUGUUCGGAUUCAUUGGGCGUAAAGGGUGCGUAGGCGGCGCGGUAAGUCGGGUGUGAAAUCUCGGAGCUUAACUCCGAAACUGCAUUCGAUACUGCCGUGCUUGAGGACUGGAGAGGAGACUGGAAUUUACGGUGUAGCGGUGAAAUGCGUAGAUAUCGUAAGGAAGACCAGUGGCGAAGGCGGGUCUCUGGACCUGUACUGACGCUCAUGCACGAAAGCGUGGGGAGCAAACAGG